AUACGGAGAGUGCAAGCGUUGUUCGGAAUCACUGGGCGUAAAGGGCGCGCAGGCGGUUUGGCAAGUCAGAUGUGAAAGCCCACGGCUCAACCGUGGAAGUGCAUUUGAAACUGCCAGACUUGAGUACCAGAGGGGAAAGUGGAAUUCCCGGUGUAGAGGUGAAAUUCGUAGAUAUCGGGAGGAAUACCGGUGGCGAAGGCGACUUUCUGGCUGGAUACUGACGCUGAGGCGCGAAAGCGUGGGGAGCAAACAGGAUUAGAUACCCUAGUAGUCC
rnacentral:rRNA from 1 species